GAAUAUACUUUAGGUGGUUUCCUAGAACAUGAGAGAAAAAUAUUUAUAGAACACCUGAGAAUAUUUUGAAGAUUUUUACUUCUUUAUGUGAGCAAAAAAUGAUAGUUGCUCUUUUUGGUGGUAGUUCAGACUUCUAUAGCUUAAAAACUUGAAGUAAUGACCAGCUGAUAUAAACCUAACUUCACCAUCUGAUAGUCAACUUCUAGAAAGCACUAUUAUUAUAUGAUAAGAGAUAAUGUGGGUUAAUUAAGAUUAUCAAGCUUUUACAUAACUUUGGGAACUCAAGGACUGAAACAUUUCAGGGUUCACUGCUUUCAUGCCAAUGUAAAAGAAAAAAUGAAGACAUAAAGUGUAAUUCAUUCUAAAAAGUUUAUUAAUGGAAUUGCAAGAAGCUUUAAUUACAUCUAGUUUGCUGAUUCAUUUUCAAUGCUUUUUUUCUUUGUGGAUUUUAAAUCAGAACAUUUUAGAACCAUGAAAAUCUUUCAAAGAACAUCUGAUUCAGUUCUCCUAACAUUUGCCUACGGACACUCAGAUACUAUCACUUCAAGUGCUUAUUUAAUUUGCAGAUACCUGGACUCCAACCAAGACCUAGAGAAUCAGCGUUUCCGAGAAAACAAAAAAAAAUUAAGAAAAGCUCAGAAUAUGCAGUUUAGCAAGAUUUUCAGACUGAUUCAUAAGUACAGUACAUGUUAAUAACUACCAAUAUGGUACAACUCCUCACUUUACAUAUAAAUGAAUUGAAGUUCUGAGAAUUUAAGAGAUUUACCUAUGUUAUACAGCUAGAAUCGGAAGCAAAAAGACAUUAUUGAAUGCCUUAAAUAUCCAGUUAGUUUCGCUUCCAUACACCCCAUGUCCUUCUAGGAGUAUAGCACAAACUAAAAUUUGACUAGGCAAAUAUUUAUUAAUGGGCUGUAGGUAGAAGAGUUAUUCAAAGCAGUAUAGAUAUACCAAAAAUUAGAAUGAAACGAUUUACUGAGAUUACUAUCAAUCAAUUUCAGCUAUUCAUACCAGGGUGUCUUAAGAAGUUUAUUAUUUCCUUGUUAUCAAGAAAUAAUCCUUUAACAACUGAAUGGAGAACUACUUAUUUAACAAUUAAGGGAAGGGGGAAUCAGAGCUUUGCUGAAUUGAUUAAUUUAAUGGCUAGAAUUAAUGGUUCUCUGUAAUCUUACCCAUUAAAAAUGUCCUCAUGUACUAAUUGUGGGCUUGCCCAUAUGACUCUAACUAAAAUAGUGGAAGAAAGAGUAUUAGAUUAAAAUGAAAGAUCUAGGUCCUCAUUCCAACUCUGUUACUUGCUACUAAUUAAGUGAAAUUUUAUAGAAAUCUACUGAGGGACAAUGUAGGACUCCUUCACCGCACAGACUAAUUUUUUCCUACUGUACUCUUGUCUCCUCCUAGUAUAGUGUCCAUAUCAGAGUGGACUCUCCUCAGAUGUCACUGCCAUUGGAAAGAGCAUUUCCAAGAUGUGGCUCCCAGUUAUACAGAAGUCUGUUGAUACACAAUUGACUAAAAUACUGCUGUCUUAGAAAAAAGACUUCUUUCCUUCCAUUGUACUUUCUAGCAAAAUAUUAAAAUAAAAACGAAUGGGAUUUUUAUUUCCCUUUAUGAGUUUUAGAAUUUCAAAACUAUAUUUUUAUGCUUUUUUUCUAGAGGACUUGAUUUACCUAUUCUUUUCUUUGCAGAGGAAACUUAAAUGUGAUUUUCCAAAAAUCAAGGAAUAAUUAGGCAUAAUUAAUCACUAGAAACCAAAGGAAGCAAUCAGAGAUAAUUAGACAACAUCUCAUAUUUAAGUCAGUUGAGCAGUAGCAACUAAUUUUUGUUUAGUUCAUAUCCUGAAUAUGAUGUAUUUUUCUGGUAAAACAAACAUCACCAGAAUACAGCAUCAACAUUCAACAUUUUUGGAAAAAUAAAACUUUAGUUCUUAUAUAAUGUCAUAGAAAUUACUUCUGUAUUACUCUGUUUUCACACUGCUGAUAAAGACAUAUCCAAGACUGGGCAAUUUACAAAAGAAAGAGGUUGAACUGGACUUACAGUUCCACAUGGCUGGGGAAGACUCACAAUUAUGGCAGAAGACAAGAAGGAGCAAGUCACGUCUUACAUGGAUGGCAGCAGGCAAAGAGAGAGCUUGUACAGGGAGAUUCCUGUUUUUCAAAGCCUUCAGAUCUCAUGAGACUUACUCACUUUCACAAGAACAGCACAGGAAAGACCUGCCCCCUACAACACCUGGGAAUUCAAGGUGAGAUUUGGGUGGGGACACAGCCAAACCAUAUCAUCUUCUAAGCAAAAUAUCUUGAAAAUUAAAGACUUACAUUAGAAAUUUUAGAAAGAAUUAUUUGACAAAAAUUAAACUGUACCACAACAAUAACUAGAUUCUAGGGUAAACUGAUUUUUCCAAUGUGUGGUUGAAUUCAAUGGGACAUAGCAUCACAACUGAAAAUAUUAUAGAUAUACUUCUCUGGCAACUGAGUAGCAAGAAAAGAAUGUGUUUUCUCUGCAUUCUUUCUCCUGUAUUAUAUAUGCUCAUAGCUGGAUUUCCUCUUUCACUGCGGUGAGAACUCACAUUUUUGGCAAUAACUUUCUGAGAAAAAUUCAAGAAUGAGGCCAACUCCCCAAGCAGACUACAGGGAAAAUUUGCAUUAAACCCUAGUUAGAACUUAUAGCCAGUAGCUAUAAUCAGAGGAGACCCCGGCAUUCUUUGUGGUGAGAUUCUGUGGUCAGAUUGCAAUCUGUACCGCAUUUGGUAGAGCUGACACCCAGUGCUGGGAAUUCAGUCUUUCAGAGCUGUGCUUCUUCAUUCAUUGCAAAUGAAAUAAAAAUCCUAAAAUUUAGGGGAAAGGAGCAGAACAUAGACUUAUAAAAUUAGUUUCAUUGCUAUCACAUAACAUAAAAGCUCUGAAAGAAGUCAUAGUAAAUAUACACCAUAUUUGAAUACUUUAUAACGGUAUGGCUUUUAUAGUACUCUUUAUAAUUCUUUAAUCUUCCAAAUUACCAUGAUGCCAUUCGUUGAUAUAUACCUCCUUCCUCUUUAUUCAAGAAUCUCUGAAUAAAAAUGGGAGCUUCCAUUUUCAUUAGAAAGGCCAAAUGAAUUUUAUCUGUGCUUGAUGGAUUGCACUUGUUCUUCCUUCUCCUCCCUCUUCCCUAUUUUCUAUAUUCAACUUUAUCAAGCUAUAACUGAUAUAAUAAAAUGCACCUAUUUAAGGUAUACAGAUUAAUGCAUUUUGAAUUUUUUUCUAAAUUGUAAUGCAUGUAACCACUCAAGUAACCAGUAUUCAAUCAAGAUAGAUAAUAUUACUUUUAUGCCCCAAAGUUUCUUUAUGCCCAAAGGGAAAAUGUCUACAGAGAUUUCCAGGCCUGAAAAUAUGGAGAUCUACAGGCACCAUGAGGAUUGCCUUUCCUUAUAAGCUAAAUGAGAAAUAAUUGGAGACUCUGCAGCAAAGGAGUGACUUAUUUGACUUAGCUGAGGGUUUGUAUAAUCAUUAGGUUGAAUGAGAUAUGAUGAUGCUCCUCCUCAUAGUUUAUGGGAUUAAAAACCUGCUUUGUGUUAAAAGAGAAAAUUUGCUGGGAAUGCAUAAAGAUAGCAAGUACCAACACUUCAUGGUAAUGUUCAUUAAAGCUCUACCCAUAUUUUUUAACAGAGCUGCUAUAAACAGAAUAAUUAAAUAAAAUUCAAAGAAAGAAGCUGAAAUAUUUUAGCAAGUCUUUUUCCUAACACCUUUCUCAUUUUUGAAAAGUUUACCUUCUUGUUGACUAAACAUAUUUUUCCUUGCAUUUUUGAUAUUGGCUAAUGUCAUUUUUAGGAUAAACUUGAGGUUUUUUAUAUUUCUGUUUAAGCCUUUUAUAUAAUCAGGGCAUCACAAUUAAGGUGUUCUCUCACUCUGUGAUAAUAUUGUAACCAAGUCCAAACUUGUCCUGCUCACCACACAACCAUUUUCAGGGUUUGCUGGCUCUUAUUAUAUUAAAGGCAGGAGGAAGAGAAAGGGAUUGUGAACAAGAGGUGACCAAUGGCCACAGGCAUUUGGGUACCAGUGAGGAUCAGAAGAGGUUUGGAACUUCUUCAUCCUUGGUCAGGUCACAAUGUUCCUAUAAAUCUUUAACAAAACAUAGCUAGUUGUUUACAUAUUUCCCUUUUAACCCCAGAGUUAGUUUCAAAAACUGCAUGAUUAUUGUUUUUGUGUUUUUUCUUAGUGCUCUAAAAUUAUCCUAGCCUAUGUGUAGGAAUGGGUAAAGGCCCCUUAAACAAAAAUGGAGUUAAUUAUGUUAGCUCUUUUGCUGAUUCAUUGUUACAAUUCCCCACUGUCAAAGGCUCAUUCCACAGUCUUGUAAGGUUAGGGACAGUGGGACAUCGUCUCUCAUCUGGGUGCUUCCUGCUGAACAUGGUCAAUGUGGGGCAACUGUGGAAAUGAAACUAUUUGACCUGGCAGCAAGUUGGUGUUCAGGACCUUAUACUUUCCAAAUCUUUAGAAGGACCCUAUCUCCCAAUCAAAAAGGAUGUAGGGACAUGUCUGUGGGAUGAGUGGUCCUGCUAGAAGCAAACUCAUGACAUGUAGUAAGC
rnacentral:lncRNA from 10 species